UACGUAGGGGGCAAGCGUUGUCCGGAUUUAUUGGGCGUAAAGAGCGUGUAGGCGGCCUGGGAAGGUCAGCUGUGAAAACGUCGAGGCUCAACCUCGAGACGUCGGUUGAAACCACCUGGCUAGAGUCCGGAAGAGGAGAGUGGAAUUCCCGGUGUAGCGGUGAAAUGCGCAGAUAUCGGGAAGAACACCCGUGGCGAAGGCGGCUCUCUGGGACGGUACUGACGCUGAGACGCGAAAGCGUGGGGAGCGAACAGG
rnacentral:rRNA from 1 species